rnacentral:misc_RNA from 1 species
AACAAGGCGUACCUGCGGACCUGCGGAAGGAUCAUUAAUGAAUUUGAAUCGAUCGUCUGUGCUGGUGGACACACAUGUGCACGUCGAUCGUCAUUCCAAUCUCCUUUCAAUCGUCCAAGUGUGUAUCUGGUCGACCUCUGGUCGAAGAGUUUGUAGCCCUUGGGCUCGACUCGUUUCAGAUGCGCCUUGGUUAUCUUACCCACUCUGGGCAAUUAUAAACAAAGAAAAAUCAUAUAAAUU